rnacentral:rRNA from 1 species
GACGAACGCUGGCGGCGUGCUUAACACAUGCGAGUCGAACGCUGAAGCUCAGCUUUUGUUGGGUGGAUGAGUGGCGAACGGGUGAGUAACACGUGAGUAACCUGCCCCCUUCUUUGGGAUAACGCCCGGAAACGGGUGCUAAUACUGGAUAUUCACUGGUCUUCGCAUGGGGUUGGUGGAAAGGGUUUUUCUGGUGGGGGAUGGGCUCGCGGCCUAUCAGCUUGUUGGUGGGGUGAUGGCCUACCAAGGCUUUGACGGGUAGCCGGCCUGAGAGGGUGACCGGUCACAUUGGGACUGAGAUACGGCCCAGACUCCUACGGGAGGCAGCAGUGGGGAAUAUUGCACAAUGGGCGCAAGCCUGAUGCAGCGACGCCGCGCGAGGGAUGGAGGCCUUCGGGUUGUGAACCUCUUUCGCUCAUGGUCAAGCCGCAACAAUGGUUGUGGUGAGGGUAGUGGGUAAAGAAGCGCCGGCUAACUACGUG